UGCAGUCGAGCGGUAACAGGAGAAGCUUGCUUUUCGCUGACGAGCGGCGGACGGGUGAGUAAUGCUUGGGAAUAUGCCAUAUGGUGGGGGACAACAGUUGGAAACGACUGCUAAUACCGCAUAACGUCUACGGACCAAAGAGGGGGACCUUCGGGCCUCUUGCCACUUGAUUAGCCCAAGUGAGAUUAGCUAGUUGGUAAGGUAAUGGCUUACCAAGGCGACGAUCUCUAGCUGGUUUGAGAGGAUGAUCAGCCACACUGGGACUGAGACACGGCCCAGACUCCUACGGGAGGCAGCAGUGGGGAAUAUUGCACAAUGGGCGAAAGCCUGAUGCAGCCAUGCCGCGUGUGUGAAGAAGGCCUUCGGGUUGUAAAGCACUUUCAGUUGUGAGGAAAGGGGUGUAGUUAAUAGCUGCAUCCUGUGACGUCAACAACAGAAGAAGCACCGGCUAACUCCGUGCCAGCAGCCGCGGUAAUACGGAGGGUGCGAGCGUUAAUCGGAAUUACUGGGCGUAAAGCGUGCGUAGGCGGUUUGUUAAGCAAGAUGUGAAAGCCCAGGGCUCAACCUUGGAACUGCAUUUUGAACUGGCAAACUAGAGUACUGUAGAGGGUGGUGGAAUUUCCAGUGUAGCGGUGAAAUGCGUAGAGAUUGGAAGGAACAUCAGUGGCGAAGGCGGCCACCUGGACAGAUACUGACGCUGA
rnacentral:rRNA from 1 species